AUUCCAUGAUGGGGACAUUCUAGGAUGUAGUCUUGAAAGCGUUCCCAUGCUUCUGGAACGGAUUCAUCAUGUUGUUGCUAAAAACUUGUAAUUUUCCAAUGGAGAGC
rnacentral:snoRNA from 1 species